UCUUAUCGAGAGUGGUCGAGGGACUGGCCCUAUGACGCCCGGCAACCUGCAGCAAUGCGGUGGUGCUAAAUCCAGCAAGACGUAUUUGUCUUGAAAGAUGAGA
rnacentral:ncRNA from 1 species